rnacentral:rRNA from 1 species
UCGGGUGCUGAGUAGAGUGGCGCACGGGUGAGUAACACGUGAAUGACCUACCCUUCAGAGGGGGAUAACUCGCCGAAAGGCGUGCUAAUACCGCAUAUUGCCUUUGCAUUUUGGUGCAGAGGUGAAACGGUGGGGACCUUCGGGCCUGCCGCUGAAGGAGGGGUUCGCGUCCGAUUAGCUAGUAGGUGGGGUAAUGGCCCACCUAGGCGACGAUCGGUAGCUGGUCUGAGAGGAUGACCAGUCACAAUGGAACUGAGACACGGUCCAUACUCCUACGGGAGGCAGCAGUGGGGAAUUUUGCGCAAUGGGGGCAACCCUGACGCAGCGACGCCGCGUAGGUGACGAAGCUUUUUGGAGUGUAAAACCUUGUCACCGGUGACGAAUGUGCAUUAUUUAAUAGGUAUUGUACUUGACGGUAGCCGGAGAGGAAGCCCCGGCUAACUCCGUGCCAGCAGCCGCGGUAACACGGGGGGGGCAAGCGUUAUUCGGAAUUACUGGGCGUAAAGGGCGCGUAGGCGGUCUGUUAAGUGUGAAGUGAAAUCCCUCGGCUCAACCGAGGACGUGCUUUGCAUACUGGUGGACUUGAGUCCGAGAGGGGGUGGUGGAAU